GAUUGAACGCUGGCGGAAUGCUUUACACAUGCAAGUCGAACGGCAGCACGGGGCAACCUGGUGGCGAGUGGCGAACGGGUGAGUAAUACAUCGGAACGUGCCCAAUCGUGGGGGAUAACGUAGCGAAAGUUACGCUAAUACCGCAUACGAUCUACGGAUGAAAGCGGGGGAUCGCAAGACCUCGCGCGAGUGGAGCGGCCGAUGUCAGAUUAGGUAGUUGGUGGGGUAAAGGCUCACCAAGCCAACGAUCUGUAGCUGGUCUGAGAGGACGACCAGCCACACUGGAACUGAGACACGGUCCAGACUCCUACGGGAGGCAGCAGUGGGGAAUUUUGGACAAUGGGCGCAAGCCUGAUCCAGCCAUUCCGCGUGCAGGAUGAAGGCCUUCGGGUUGUAAACUGCUUUUGUACGGAACGAGACGGCGAGCUCUAAUACAGUUUGCUAAUGACGGUACCGUAAGAAUAAGCACCGGCUAACUACGUGCCAGCAGCCGCGGUAAUACGUAGGGUGCAAGCGUUAAUCGGAAUUACUGGGCGUAAAGCGUGCGCAGGCGGUUAUAUAAGACAGAUGUGAAAUCCCCGGGCUCAACCUGGGAACUGCAUUUGUGACUGUAUGGCUAGAGUACGGCAGAGGGGGAUGGAAUUCCGCGUGUAGCAGUGAAAUGCGUAGAUAUGCGGAGAACACCGAUGGUGACCCUGGUAGUCCACGCCCUAAACGAUGUCAACUGGUUGUUGGGUCUUCACUGACUCAGUAACGAAGCUAACGCGUGAAGUUGACCGCCUGGGGAGUACGGCCGCAAGGUUGAAACUCAAAGGAAUUGACGGGGACCCGCACUAGCGGUGGAUGAUGUGGUUUAAUUCGAUGCAACGCGAAAAACCUUACCCACCUUUGACAUGUACGGAAUUUGCCAGAGAUGGCUUAGUGCUCGAAAGAGAGCCGUAACACAGGUGCUGCAUGGCUGUCGUCAGCUCUUGUCGUGAGAUGUUGGGUUAAGUCCCGCAACGAGCGCAACCCUUGUCAUUAGUUGCUACAUUCAGUUGGGCACUCUAAUGAGACUGCCGGUGACAAACCGGAGGAAGGUGGGGAUGACGUCAAGUCCUCAUGGCCCUUAUAGGUGGGGCUACACACGUCAUACAAUGGCUGGUACAGAGGGUUGCCAACCCGCGAGGGGGAGCUAAUCCCAUAAAACCAGUCG
rnacentral:rRNA from 1 species